UACAGAGACUGCAAGCGUUAAUCGGAAUUACUGGGCGUAAAGUGUGCGCAGGCGGCCGCGCAAGUCGAGUGUGAAAGCCCCGGGCUUAACUUGGGAAUUGCGCUCGAAACUACGUGGCUGGAGUGUGGCAGAGGAAGGUGGAAUUCCACGUGUAGCGGUGAAAUGCGUAGAGAUGUGGAGGAACACCAAUGGCGAAGGCAGCCUUCUGGGCCAACACUGACGCUCAUGCACGAAAGCGUGGGGAGCAAACAGG
rnacentral:rRNA from 1 species